GCUUAUUGGGUCAAUAAGAAAGAAGACUCCCCCCAGGUAUUAGGUCUUUUCCCCCUCUCUAUUAUUAUGGUAAGGAGUUAGGUAGGGUUAAUUAAUUUUAACAGAAGGAAUUCAGGGAUCCUAAUCAGUGCGAGAUGGUAAAGGGGGGCACUAUAAGAACGUCCCUUAUAGUAAUGUGGGGGUCUUAUUGACACCUAUGGGCUUUUUACCUACUUAUUUUUAAACUGUUUCAUGUCGUGGCUGUCACAGAAUUAACCCUUAAACUGCCGAUGCUAAUUAUUUGCCUGGUGGCUGCUAACAUCUUGACCUGGAAAUGAAGUUGAAAUGUUGACCAAAUUCAGGCCCAUUUGGAGCCUGAUUUGCAAAACCCAUUAAGAAUGGCCCCGUACAAAGACAAAUGGUUUUGCCCCAUUUUUAUGGACUUUAGGGAAUAAUCCUGUUAGCCAUAGGCAUCUGCAGGGGAGGGCAAGGGGGGGCACUUGCGCCCCCCCCCCAUGGAUUUUUCAGCUUGU